AUACUUGGAAGGGAGUAUUUUUGAAGGUGCAGAUUGGUUUUCCAAAAUUUGAUGAGCUUUCCGCAUUAACCAACCAAUCACCUUCCCCAAGAUUAACCAAUGAAUCUCGAGCCAAACUCAGCGGUUUAAAAGGGGAUUUCUCACUCAGCCAUAUACACUCUCUGUGUGUUAAUGGAUCUCCUCCGAAGAGCCUGCGCAAGAGCAAGAUACUCCCCUCAACUUAACGCAUUUGCAUUUGCAAAAAGGUCCUUUACUCCUCUCAAUCACGCCACACCCUCUGCUCUCCUCCAUGGCAUUCAUGUCUUCCACUGCCCGGAUGAAGUGGGAAUUGUCGCCAAAUUAUCCGAAUGCAUAGCCUCCAAGGGUGGCAACAUUCUUAAUGCUGAUGUUUUUGUGCCUGAAAAGGAGAAUGUCUUUUAUUCCAGAAGUGAGUUUGUCUUUGAUCCUGCCAAAUGGCCACGGAAUCAAAUGGAUGAGGAUUUCUCAAAACUUGGGAAGAUGUUCAAUGCAAUGAAGUCUGUUGUUCGGGUGCCCAAUCUAGAUCCAAAAUAUAAGAUUGCAGUACUUGCUUCGAAGCAGGACCAUUGUCUUGUUGAUUUGCUGCAUGCUUGGCAGGACUCUAAGCUUCCUGUUGAUAUUACAGCUGUGAUAAGCAAUCAUGACAGAGGUCCAAACUCACAUGUGAUGAGAUUUCUUGAAAGGCAUGAAAUCCCUUACCAUUAUUUGAGCACAACUAUAGAAGACAAAAACGAAGAAGACAUCUUGAAUGUUGUCAAGGAUACAGACUUUCUAGUACUUGCUAGAUACAUGCAGAUACUCUCAGGAAAUUUCUUAAAGAGCUAUGGCAGGGAUAUUAUUAAUAUUCAUCAUGGUCUGUUACCCUCUUUCAAGGGUGGCAACCCAUCUAAACAGGCCUUUGAUGCUGGUGUUAAAUUGAUUGGUGCAACAUCUCAUUUUGUUACUGAAGAGCUUGAUGAAGGUCCCAUCAUUGAGCAAAUGGUGGACAGAGUUUCUCAUAGGGACAAUUUGCGAAGCUUUGUACAUAAAUCUGAGAACUUGGAGAAGCAAUGUCUUGCGAGAGCAAUAAAGUACUAUUGUGAACUACGCGUGUUGCCUUACGUGAAAAACAAGACUGUUGUAUUUUGAGGCUAGUAACACAUGGUGGAUGUGAAACCUGAAAUCUAAUCACUCUCAGUCUGAAGAAGGGCAGUAUAUAUCCAAUCUGUGUUAAAAGGAGGCAUACAAUUGUGAAAGAAACUUCAACAAAAUGUGUCUGCACAAAAGUUUGAUUAAAUGCUCUGGUUGAUAUUCAACAUCCUUAGAGAAUUCUCUGCCUCCUCAAAUCGGCUUCUGCGCUGCAGAAGAUUCUGAAUUCCGUGCACCCAUUUUUGUUUAUGAACUUUGUUCUUGCACUUGAACUCUAAUAGACCCUGAGCAGUUUUUACCCCAAAGUACAACUCCAUGUUUUCUCUUUCUUUCCUGAACGGCCAGCUGCUGCUGUCAUGGAUGACUUCAUAAAGAAUACCUGAAAUGUGGUAAAGACAUCGAUAAGCAGAUAGAUGUAGGAUUUAUGUGAAAUUAGCUGUUUUUCCAUAUGCAUCUGGGAUAAAUUUCUUACUAUAUAAUGUUGAAGGCUUACAUUUAUUGUUUUUGGAAAAUGCUCCUCCUAUGUGCUUACUCUUCACCUUUAUUGUAACCUGAAAAUAUGUUCAUUUCAGUCGAAUGUCGUCUGUCCAAUCUAUGUUCAUGAGCAUAUGUUAAGGUGAUUAUAUACACUUGUAAUAGAAACUAGGUUUAUUUAUGAAUUCCUCUCUAGAUAUGAAUAGCUGUAUACCUGGUAUGCCUUGUUGAUGUAGAUAGACACAUGUUUCCACUGUAGCACACCUAAAAAUUCAGGUGAUCAGGGUGUUUGAUUUUAUCAUUUUAUGGCAUAUGGAUAAGAAAAUACAAGUAUGAUUCUGCAAAUGUAGAUUUAGAAAUCAUGCGUGCUUAGGGUAUGUGAUGAUUGAGAAUCUCAAUUACUCUGAUGAAAAUUAGACGUUACCUUUUCGAGUGAGUUGUAGUAAGUCUCCUAGGCAGGGAAGGUCCUCUUCCUCGACUUCACUAGCAAAAGCAGCUGGAGAUGGAGAACCUGCUAUGGCCUUUUCAUAUGGACUUAUUGACGCGCUCCUCUUUGCUUCCUUAGUUUGCAGGAGUAGUUGAGAUUUGUACCAGUUGCUGCUGCAGCUGUCAAAGUUAACAAAUCACUUGCAGUUUGGAUGCCGACUGCUGAUCUCACAACAGAGGCCACGGCUUCCUUAUCCGCCCCAGCUGAUUGCGCCAACUCGAUACAGUAUGAGGCCAAGAGCUCAGUUGCUGAUGCUAGUGCCGCGCUAAUUUUGGAGUUCUGCGUUGCAGUAGCUGCAGCCAAGGGCUGCUGCUAGUCCAGCAACGGAGAGAAGAGUGUCGCAUCUGCUUGGUAGCAAGUGCUUUUGAUAAUUCAUCUGCAGAGAGACUCCAAGACCUUGACAAGAACACCAUUGGCUCCUUAGGCGUUUCUGGCUGUGGUAUUGCAGGUAAUGCCGCUUCUCCUUUGAGCUUGUCGUUGUCUUCUUCUACGUGCUUCUUCCACCAUGGUAGUUGAUUGCUUUCCAUUUCGAUUAAUAUAAGUGGAACUGGAACACCUGAGCAUAGAUUUAUCAAUGAAUGAUUCCCAGGUCAUGAGAGAGAGAGAGAGAGAGGUGCAUACCUUUGGAUGUUUGAUGAAUGAGUAUAGUUAAGAUUGUUGUGAGAGAUUGGGUAGUUGAUACUUAUAGAUAAUGCAAAGAGAGACAUAAUGCUAGAAAAGAAUACAUGAGUGGCGCCUCGUGCUUGAAACUUGCCAUGAAAUCUGCUGUUUUACUUAUAAUAUUCAUCGCCAUUGUCGUUUUAGCA